rfam:Triticum aestivum genome assembly, contig: Triticum_aestivum_CS42_TGACv1_scaffold_571330_7AS
CAAGUACUCCCUCCGUCUGGAAAUACUUGUCAUCAAAAUGAAUAAAGGGGGGUGUAUCUAGAUGUAUUUUAGUUCUAUAUACAUCCCUUUUGUCCAUUUUGAUUACAAGUAUUUUCGGACGGAGGGAGUACUUU